rnacentral:rRNA from 1 species
UAACGGCGAGUGAAGCGGGAUGAGCUCAAAUUUGUAAUCUGGUGGACUCAGUUCAUCCGAAUUGUAAUCUAUAGAAAAGUUUUCCGCGCUGGACCGUGUCUAAGUCCCUUGGAACAGGGUGUCAGAGAGGGUGAGAAUCCCGUGCUUGAUACGACCACCAGUGCUAUGUGAUACUUUUUCAACGAGUCGAGUUGUUUGGGAAUGCAGCUCAAAAUGGGUGGUAAAUUCCAUCUAAAGCUAAAUAUUGGCGAGAGACCGAUAGCGAACAAGUACCGUGAGGGAAAGAUGAAAAGCACUUUGGAAAGAGAGUUAAACAGUACGUGAAAUUGUUAAAAGGGAAACGAUUGAAGUCAGUCGUGCUCUCUAGGACUCAGCCAGUUCUUCUGGUGUAUUUCCUAGUGAGCGGGUCAACAUCAGUUUAGAUCGCUGGAUAAGGUCAUUAGGAAUGUGGCUCCCUCGGGAGUGUUAUAGCCUAGUGUCGCAUACAGUGGUUUAGACUGAGGAACGCAGCUCGCCUUUAUGGCCGGGGUUCGCCCACGUCCGAGCUUAGGAUGUUGACAUAAUGGC